rnacentral:lncRNA from 1 species
AUAGCAAGCCAGUAGUUAGUAUUAGGCUCUUUUCGCCGAGGGAUUGGGUUAAGGGUAGGCUAAGAAAGUUGCAUGACAAUUAAUUAAUCAAGCUAAUAAUUCAAGAGGAGUAAAUAAGAGAGAGCGGAUUAGAUGAAAUUGUAAACCCCCAACAACUCCAUUCAUCCAUUGUUUUCUUCUUGUCAUNUGAAUCAAUCUCUUUUGCAUGUUCAUAUUUUAUUCUCUUACUCAAUUUAUUAAUUUUUAUUUUCAAGUCUUAUUAUUUUAAUUCCCGCGAACGAUAAGACCUUUCGAGUCUCUUUGGAAAACGAUACUUGGUCUUACCAUUUUUAUUACUUGAACGAUUUGGUACGCUUGCCAAUCCGUUAACAAGUUUUUG